CCAAAUGAUGAACAACAAACUAUUAAUAACUUUCGUUCUUCCGCAGUUAGAUCAAACGAUCGUGAGGAAACCAUAAUUUAGCUGAUA
rnacentral:snoRNA from 1 species